UCACCCCUCAAGCCCGGCUUGCUGUUGGAAGCGGCGCUCACCCGCCCUUCCCAAAGAUAAUGACGGCGUCUGUGAGGACUCCUGUACACUGAGCUUUCGGGCACGUACUAGGCUAGAAGUCCAGACCCGGUCGACGUCCGACCCGCGAGGGACGGACAACCACUUUUUACCAA
rnacentral:misc_RNA from 1 species